rnacentral:rRNA from 1 species
UACGUAGGGUGCAAGCGUUAAUCGGAAUUACUGGGCGUAAAGCGUGCGCAGGCGGCGCGUUAAGACAGGUGUGAAAGCCCCGAGCUUAACUUGGGAACUGCGCUUGUGACUGGCGUGCUGGAGUGUGGCAGAGGGAGGUGGAAUUCCACGUGUAGCAGUGAAAUGCGUAGAUAUGCGGAGGAACACCGAUGGCGAAGGCAAUCCCCUGGGCCUGCACUGACGCUCAUGCACGAAAGCGUGGGGAGCAAACAGG